UUGUUGAAUUUAGUUGUAGAACGAGGGAGAACAAGAAUUCUAGAUUCAAAACCACACAGAUUUCUGUUCCUGUUUAUGGAAGGACUUCUACUGACAUCUACCAGAAGAAAGAAACAAAUCAGCACAUUUUUGAUUGAAUGGAAAAACCAACAUUA